rnacentral:lncRNA from 1 species
AGCAAGAGUAAGAAGUAUUGGCAGCAGCAAGCAGGCGGGCAGGCUGAGAUCUUGCAUGGAAAUCAUGAACCAGGUCUUGCUUUUCGUUUUUGAAACGUUUUGGAAGGAGAGUUAUGAAUAGCCCAGAAAUAGGUCUCAUUUUGUGGGUAGGAAGAAUGACCAGAAGCAUGAAAGCUAAAUCUUCUGGCAAGUGCAGGGGACCUCUCUUGGAGUGUGCAGUAAACCCGAGGGGAGGACUUCGCCUGCUGUAAACUCCUGAACCAUCACAUCUGGAGAGAAGGGGCUGGUGAAGCCUUGUAAUAAAUGCAAAGGAUGCUGCUGAGAGCUUUGGUCUGCCUUUAACUCAUUGUGAUGCUACUCCCAGUCUUCACUGAGAAACUGCUCUAGCCAGUGAACGACAGUGAAUGAAGAAAUGCCUGGCUGCUCGAGACACCGAGAGUGACAGCUGCGUGCUCAGCUCAGGAGGACGUUCAUAUCCUUCUUCAAGGCUCUAGGAACAAAACGCGGUAAUGACAGGAAGACAGUAAGAGCCCAGGACAUAGGGAUGGGAGCUCUGAAGUUCUGUGCUGUACCAAGGACACAAUCAAUGUAAUCGUGGCACCAUAAACAGAGGUCAGCAGUGGGUUCGUGCAAUACUGAGCGGGUCAGCAUUCAUUCACAGAGAGGGCCCACGCAGCCACAUCCUCUCUGCUGAAUUAUGAGCUACCGAUGGAUUGUGGGAGAAACAAACAUUCUCUUCAGCCUUGGGCCCACUUCUGAGUUCACCAGGUUACAGUGAGUAGUCGCUAAUCCAUGGACACAGACGGCCCUGAUUAAACGCAGUGGGUUAGG